UACGUAGGGGGCAAGCGUUGUCCGGAUUUAUUGGGCGUAAAGAGCGUGUAGGCGGCCGUACAGGUCAGCUGUGAAAACUCGAGGCUCAACCUCGAGACGUCGGUCGAAACCGUACGGCUAGAGUCCGGAAGAGGAGAGUGGAAUUCCCGGUGUAGCGGUGAAAUGCGCAGAUAUCAGGAAGAACACCCGUGGCGAAGGCGGCUCUCUGGUACGUGACUGACGCUGAGACGCGAAAGCGUGGGGAGCGAACAGG
rnacentral:rRNA from 1 species